rnacentral:lncRNA from 1 species
AAUUACAAAUGUACCUUCGGCUUGAAAGAAGACAAAAGUACAAGCGUGACGCAAAAGCAAAUGCCAAGUCCGCAUGAACAGUACGGGAGCACUGUUCAUCUAUUUAUAGGCACAGGACGCAGCCCAUAUAAAAUUACACCCAUGCCCUUUACAUUUGCUAAUAACUCUAUAGAAAUCCAUCGAGGUCUAAAUAGCCUUUUCAUCUUUAAGUCGGUUUCCUUUUCUGCUAUCAUGCCGAAGCUCCCCUGCGCAUAGCUUCGGCUCUGCUCCAUCUUUGUAUCCCUUGUGCUUCUUCACACUGUGGUUUUGACCCAAGUCCGAAGGAUCUAAGUCUGAAGUUACCUGCUCAUGUAUUAUACUCCAGAAACAUUGUUAAAUCAUGUUUUUGAGGACCUUCGGAAGCCGAAGGCCCCCAACAGUAGCCCCUCGCAAUAUUAAUCUGUUAGAAUGAUAAAUUCAGAUUGCGAUACGGACGAAGGCCCUAAGCCGAAGGUCCGAAAAAACACCUUCCCUUUGCUAGAAUAGCAACAGUCAAUGACAAGUGGGGCCCUCCCACUUGCAACGCACUAGGCGUAUAAAUAAGAGCACACCGCGAGCUCAUUUGGCACGCUUUUUGCUAUCUGCUCUGCCUGCUCAAUUUUUAGCUCUUGCCUACAAACGCUUUGCCUGGCUUUUUAGAUUUUUUAGCUUCGGCCUUAAGAGCACAUUUUCAACAUUUUCGAAGAGAUGUCUCAAGAUAAGAAAGCUGUUGUUGAAACGAAGCUGAGCCUUUCUGAGGAGAAGAAUCUUGGCUUCCUUGAAUCAAUAGCGAAGACAAAUACAGAGAAGAUUACUAGAGAGAUUUUAGAAGGUUUAUCUGAAGACACCGGUGAUAGUGACAGUUAUGAUGUGGAAAGCGGUGGCGAACACUCCGAAGAUCGACCCUGGCGACCAAGUCAUACAGUUUUCAGAAAAUCAACUAUUAAACAGAGUCAUCUCGACAAUAUGAGGGGAAGAUAUUUUCGAGAUGUGUCUAUCGUGAGGGCUGACAACGGAGACAGGACUUCUCCUGCUCCCGAAGAGAAUGAAGUCGUGAUCUUCCGAAGCUUCUUCAAGGCUAGGCUUCGGUUCCCCCUGAGCAAUUUUGUGGUUGAAGUUUUAAAAAUAUAUCAGGUUUACCUUCAUCAAAUUACUAUCGAAGCAAUCAUUAGAAUGGGAAUAUUUGUCUGGGCCGUGAGGAGCCAGGGCUUAGAGCCAAAUACAAAAAGUUUCUGCAGUAUGCACGAACUGUUAUAUGAGACGAAACCCUGGGGCAAAGAGCAAUACCAUAACAAUUUUGGCUGCUAUAGCUUCGUCGCUCACUCUGGCUCAAGCUGCCCCGUGCCAACCUUCCGGAAAAGAUGGCCUGGGGACUGGAUGAAGAAAUGGUUUUACGUGAAAAACGAUUUAAAGGCACGAGAAGACGUUAAAGAUAUUAUCAUGCGUCCUAUCUAGCAACGCUUCGGCCUUCGGAAACCGAAGGUGGAAAUUGAUGAAGCCGCCGAAGAAUGCCGAAAAGCCUUUGGCAUAGUUUGCUCUUUCAUUGGGACAAGGGAUUUAGUGCAAGAGCACAUAGCCUUCAAAGUGUGGCCACUUGUAGAGAAAUGGGAAAUGCCAAAGGAAACUAUCAACAAGUCUGACGAAGGUGGGCUGGUUAGGUUGAAAUACACCUUCAGAUAUGAAGGUAAGUUUGUUGAGCCAGAUGAUGAUUGGCUGAAAUGUAUCGAAGCUACAAGCGAUGAACUGCUUGGGCCAUAUUCAAAAGCAGAAGAUAACGCGUUAUCUGCGGCCUUCGGAGGCCGGAAGAAGAAGAGGCUGAAUCGAGUUUUCGAUGCUAUUGGGUUUAUGUACUCUGAUUACCGCUACCCGUCGUGGGGGCAGAAGAGAAAGAGUGCCAUUUCUGGGAAGGAUGCUGCUCCAACUGCUCCAAGCGAGCCCGCGCCGAAGAGGAAAAAGGUGAAGGUCCUUACUCACUGGCCACGAUAUAUUGAACCGGCCGAAGUGCCCGAAUUUGGCGGCAAGACCUCUUCGGCUACUAAAGCUGAAGAAUCUGCCCUCACACAGAGGAAUGAGGAACUGGCUACAAUGCCGAAGGCAUCACCAGCCAAAUCAGGUGAGCCAAAGGCCAUUAGUAUUGAAGAGGCAGAGGUCGAAAAGACAAAAAUAUUAGAAGUUAUAAGCCCUUCGGCAGAGGUGAUAGUGCCGAAGGCGCAAAAGGAUCUUACAACGACCCCCAAGAGGAAAAGGAUGGUCAACGUACUAGAUGUACUGGAAAAAAUAAAGACUUCAAGCUCUACUCCAGGGAAAACAGUCGAAGCUUCAAAAACGCGAAUUGAAACAAAACAGACUGAAGCUGAAGCUGCACAAAGUCAUGCCAAGACCGAAGCUGGGCCUUCAGAACCUGCCAAGGAGAAAUCCUUGGAAAUCGGAGAAGAAAAGGCGGAAAAGGAAUCUGCAGAACAAAUUCUGUCUGAAAAAACUGUCAUUCCUAUUCCCGAAGCAUCUUCCGAAGCUCUUGAUUAUAUUAUACGACAUGCUUCGGGAAAAAGGUUAUCUGCAGAACAAAAGCAAGAAGCUCAAUAUUAUGCCCAGAGACUGAAAUAUCCAAAAGGGGCGUUGAUAUUCAACGGCAGCGGAGAAGAAGAAUUCUUGUAUUGUCUCCCAGACAGCAAGGAGAUCUCUGUCUGCCGGGAGAUGGGCAGAAGCUUCGGAUUCCCGACGCUAGAAGACGGGCUCUCAGUGCUAUCAAAAGAUGAAUUGGCCGACAGCUUAGCAUACAACAGCUUAAAGGUGAGGGAAUAAGAUUUUUUUACUUAAAAACAAAAAUUUUCCAUUUGCUUAUACUUAAUACCGCACUCCUUUUGCAGGGCCUUAUUCUUAGCAACGCCCUCAGAGCGCAAAAAAGCGCUGAAGACGAAGGAUGUACCAUAGCCUUGAACAACCUUCGUUUCGAAGUAAUUGAGCUAAGGAACGAAGGUCUUGAAACAGAUAAAAUAUUAAACUCAUUGGUGAACAAGAUAAAAGAAGACGAAGCUACUUCAAAAGCCCAAGCUGAGGCCCAGAAAUGCGAAAUUGAAGAUCUUCAGAAACAGCUGGCAGAAGCAAAACUAAAAUGUGCAAUUGCCGAAGCUGACCGAGAUGCCAGUGACUACUGGAAAAAUUACUAGGAAAAAACAGCUGUGGAGCUUCGUUCUUCAAAAGAAAGAUGCUAUGAGAAAUCUGUAGCAUGUGUACAAAAGAUAAAAACCAGCUUCGCCAAUAUUGGUGCAUAUUCGAAUGAAGACAACUUCGUACUGGGCGACCCUGAAGGUCCAAUCGAAUGGAUCAACGGCGAAGCUGAAGCCUUUGAGGAAGUUUUGAGUGGCCGUGGAGAUGUCUGCGCCUUCUCAGGUGCUAGGGGAAUUGCGGCUAUUCUGGAGAAGGCAGGAUGUGAACACGUGAAGAUUCUGGCCCAAGCCGAAGCUGCUUUCUCUAUUGAUGACACGAAGGAUCCCUCGGCCGAAGCAAGCUUAGUUGGCGGAAAAUUCUUUACUGACAUUUGGGAAAAUGGCGGCCGAGGGAUGGCCCACGAAAUUAUAAAGAAAAGUGAAAAAGAUACUCACAAAGCUAGAGAAGCAACAAAGGCAGCUGAAAGGACUGCAGAACUCCAAAGGCGGAUAGGUAUUGCCUAAUUGCUUUUAACUUUAUGUUUUAUUUUUGUGACUUUCAGACUUAUUUAUGUUUUACAUCGCAGCCGAACUAUCUCCUCCCCCGGAGCCCUUCAAGCCAUUGGUCGACCCCGAAGCAGAAAAGGAAGAUGAAAUUACUAAGAUGGCCGAAGCUAUUAUGGAUGAAGUUGUUACUCGACUACUAAACGAAGCUGCGGAAGCAGUUUUAAAAGAAGAGUAGCUAUUAUUGUAAAAACAUUUGGAAUAUUAAUGUAAUAUUUGCUGAACAAAAUGUGUAAUAUUUUGUAGUUUUGAAUGUAAUAUAUAAGCUUUUUGUAAUUCAAUUCUUUACGAUGCAUGAAACUUUAUGUACAUACCGUUUUUGAGCCUUCAGCGAAAAAACACCUUCCCUUCUUUUCAUGCUUCGUGAAGAAUAUCCAUAUUACGUAAAAACAUUAUCCUUCGUAAGUAAUAGAUCUCCUUCGAUAUUAGAGUUGAUGAAGUUGUAUUGCUUCAAAACUUAUUUUGUGGCUCGGUACAACUUCUUCGAAGCAAUUUCCGAAGAUCAACAUUGCAUCCCCUUCUCUGCCAUUGAUGCAAUAUGAUGUAUGAUGCCAUGUUAUGCGAAUGAUGUGAUAAUGUUAUGCUAUGAAAAAUGAUAUUUGUGCCGAAGAUACACACAUAUUCCCAUAAUAGAACACACAAUCUCUUUGUCGUUUAUUUUUCAGCUUCACCGCUUAUUUUCGGUGUAUCAGCGCUGACUUUUCGUUGUAAGUUCUGCAUUCCCUUAGAAACGUCUUUUGAACUUCUUCGCCUUCUAUUUUGGCGGUAUUCGCGUUGACUUUUCGCGCUUCGCCUUAUAUUACGGCGGAAUCAGCGUUUAUUUUUCGCUGUAAGCUCUGCAUUCCCUUUGGAACGACUUUUGAGCAGAAAACUUACGUUGCGCUCCCUUAGGAACGACUUUUCGUUGCUUCGGUCAAACUUAUGCUGCGUUCCUUAGAACGACUUUUUGUUGCUUCAGCACAACUUGUAAUAUAAUUGUGAACCCCACGCUCUUGAGAACGACUUUCGUGAUUCACCGACUUUUGGAACUUCGUGAGUCUGUGAAGAAAGUUUAUUAUAUCAUGACAAUUACGAAGCUAUUACAAGAAAUUGAAAACAACAAAAGAACUAGGCUUUCAAUGAUUGUUCUUUAUUAAAAAGAAAAUGAUGACGAAUGAAAAAACUGUUUUAAAGGUAGGAUAUCUCCUAGUAGAUGUGCUUCGAUUCUGGCACAGUACUGUUGACUGUGCGAGCUUCGGACUGUUCCCUGAAGUCUCGCUGCUGGUGAGUGUGCUGGCUCCCUUCUGGCUGCUGGCCUUGGGGAUAUGCGGGUUGCAUUGGUGGUGGAGGUGGAGGCUGUUGCCAAGAUGCCUGAGAUUGGCUUGCCGAAGCAACAGAAACUGCAGGAUGGUUACCCACAUACUCUGGUAUAUACGGUGAAUGAUACGAAGCAGUAUGCAUAACUUGCUUCGAUUGAUUGUGUUGAGCUGUAGCUUCUGCUAUCUCCUUCUGUUUCUGGAUGGUGACAUGGCACAUCCUUGUAGUAUGGCCCUUGUCCUCACCGCAGAAUAGGCAAUAAAUUUUCCUGGGCUGAUCCUCAAACCUUCCACCGAAGCCCCUGACGCCUCUGCCCCUUGGAGCUGGAGGCCGAGGAUAGCUUUGUUGCUGCCCCGAAGCCUGGGAGGAAUAUUGCGGCCUCUGCUGCUGACAUCCUCUGUCGUCAUUCUGAGUAGAGUGGAUUGAUCUGACGUGCCUUGGGUGGACUCUUCCUCCGAAGCCCCUGUUCAUUUCGGAGAACCUGUAAGCUUCCUCCCUUCUCUGUCGAAAGUCAUUAUCAGCGCGGAUGUAUUCAUCCAUCUUCUGAAGCAAUUUCUCCAGGGUCUAAGAGGGCUUCCUGGCGAAGUAUUGGGCCACAGGUCCUGGCCGAAGCCCCUUGAUCAUGGCCUCAAUGAUAAUUUCAUUGGGCACUAUUGGCGCUUGUGCCCUCAGACGCAAGAACCUUCGGACAUACGCCUGGAGGUAUUCUUCGUGAUCUUGCGUGCACUGGAACAAAGCUUGAGCAGUAACUGGCUUCGUCUGAAACCGUUGGAAACUGGUGAUCAGCAUGUCCUUCAGCUUCUGCCAUGAUGUGAUUGUUCCUGGCCGAAGAGAGGAGUACCAGGUUUGUGCAACAUUCUUGACUGCCAUGACGAAGGAUUUCGCCAUGACUGCAGUAUUGCCACCAUAUGAAGAUAUGGUUGCUUCGUAGCUCAUCAGAAACUGCUUCGGAUCUGAGUGUCCGUCAUACAUGGGGAGCUGGGGUGGCUUGUAAGACGGGGGCCAAGGUGUAGCCUGCAGUUCUUCUGAUAGAGGAGAAGCAUUAUCAAAAGCAAAAUUUCCAUGAUGGAAAUCUUCAUACCAAUCAUCCUCAUUGUAGAAGCCCUCUUGGUGCAGCUCUCUGUGCUGGGGCCUUCGAUUUUGCUCAUCUUGAGCAAGAUGACGUACUUCUUCGGUGGCUUCGUCAAUCUGCCUUUGUAGGUCAGCUAGCCGAGCCAUUUUUUCCUUCUUCUAUUACACUUGCUGAUGAAGCAUUUCCAUAUUCCUGAUCUCUUGGUCCAACUCGUCCUCUUGGGGUGUUGGACUGGUGGCCUUCCUCUUCUGGCUUCGGGCCUCUUGGUUCGGGUCCAGCGGCUGCAGAACGGCAGCCCCUGUCGCUGAAGCUUUCUUUGGCGGCAUGACGAAGGUCGAUGCUUGCCGAAGGUGGUCGAAAAGGGUUCACCGGAGGUGGGCGCCAAUGUUGGGGACUUGUCCUUAAAUGCUAUGAAUUAAGAACAAGGCAACACAGAAAUUGUUAAACGUUAAAGUCCUUCGUCCUUCGAAGCAUUAUUUCCCUUGGGAUAUAAUGAAUUUCGGACGAAGGUUAUGAAGGACAUACCUUCAUAAGCACAACAAAUAAUGAAGAAGGAUAUUCUUAUAAAGUAUGAACAUUAAAAUAUUAUUAUUAACUCAUUUCUAUUUUAUUAUUAUGGAAAAACUAGAAGUGAUAACGAAUUACAAAUGUACCUUCGGCUUGAAAGAAGACAAAAGUACAAGCGUGACGCAAAAGCAAAUGCCAAGUCCGUGUGAACAGUACGGGAGCAUUGUUCAUCUAUUUAUAGGCACGGGACGCAGCCCAUGUAAAAUUACACCCAUGCCCUUUACAUUUGCUAAUAACUCUAUAGAAAUACAUCGAGGUCUAAAUAGUCUUUUCAUCUUUAAGUCGGUUUCCUUUUCUGCUAUCAUGCCGAAGCUCCCCUGCGCAUAGCUUCGGCUCUGCUCCAUCCUUCGUAUCCCUUGUGCUUCUUCACACUGUGGUUUUGACCCAAGUCCGAAGGAUCUAAGUCCGAAGUUACCUGCUCAUGUAUUAUACUCCAGAAACAUUGUUAAAUCAUGUUUUUGAGGACCUUCGGAAGCCGAAGGCCCCCAAUAGGGUGAUUAAAUGAUAAUAUCUUCUAUGUUAUAAAUCAUGUGAGAAAAAUAUUACGGAGAAACAACUAAUUCAACUUUAAUAUAGGUUAUCACUUGAUUAGACAUCAUGAUUUAGUCAAAUUCUAAUUGUAGAUAGGUUAACUUUAAUGAGCAAGCUUAAUCUACUAAACAAAGAUUAAAUAAUAUCUAACUAUAAGAAUAUGUGCUAUGAUAAAACUAAUGUUGUUGUUGCGUAGACAAUGUUAUUACGAAGCUAACGCAAUUGAAACGGAUUAAAUCAGAGUUAAAUGUAGAAGUUAUGAAUUUUGUAAGUUUAUUGACUUAAUUUUAUAUCAAAAAUCCUUUUUGGGAUCCAUUAGAAACCAGACCGGGUCACGUGUUCUAUUACUCGAGAGAACAUGGACUAAUCUGCAAGGAAUAGGACCCAUCUGUAAUGAUUUUCCCUCAUGCGUGGAUGGCGGGUUAAUUCACCGAGUUCCCAGGGGUUCUUUUGUAAAGAGUACGCGUCGAAGGGGUAUGGGUUCAUCCGAGCCGUAGGAUCUUCAAUCAAGCGCCCCAAUUAGAUCACCAAUCCCGCCAACGCCUGAGCCAUUGGAUCGACCCACAAUGGCCAGGAUCCACCCUAGCCGAAGGGUUAUGCUCUUUCAAUCUGGGUUGUCUACUUAUCGAUCAAUGACCGGGAUUUUAAACAUCGACAACCUAAUCUUAACCCUCCAACCCGCGAGCCACGGUCCUGAUUAACCCAGCCGAAUCGUUAUGUGGCACUUCAUCCCAUCCGUCCAUUCCAGAUCGACGGCUCCUACACUUUCUUCUACCUCUGACCGACCGGCAGCCAUGGCGUUCGCCAGCCCACGAUGGCGCUAUGCAGGCGGGAUGCCCCGGGUGAACCAAUGCCCCAUCACCCGCCGCACUCAAUGCCACACAAAGGAGCUUGGUGAAAGAAAUAGGUAUUCUUAUCUUACCGGUGACCCAUGGGUAGACGACGCCGGCUGCAGAGAACAGGAACACACGGCCAUCCUCAACGUCGUCGAGGCAUCAAGAGUAUCCCACCCCAGGCAUGCCCGGCAGGAGCGCGACCCCCGUCGAGUGCCCCGACAAAGCACCACGUGCGCCAGAGACUCCCAUGGCCAUUGCCCAGGGCCGGAGAUUAGUCGCGGGCGAGCUCCUACAAACCGCCCUGUCUGCCAUUACGGGCCACGGCGUUUGACCGAGCAUGCCCCAGCUAUAUAUGCACCGGAGGGGGGUGAUACCCAGC